AUACCCUCCCAAGAUCUCUGC
rnacentral:siRNA from 1 species